GGGGGGCCCCCGGCGGGAGCCGGGCGGGGCGGCGGGGCGAGCUCGGGCGUCCCCGCCUGGCGCUCGCCCGCGCUGCAUGGCGCUGCAGCUCAGCCUGCCUUGCAAGAGGGAGCUCGAGUCCCGCUCUUGAGCUCGCAGCGCCUCUCACUCCGCAACGCGCACAGCGAGCAGGCGGUCGGCAGGGGCGGACGGACGGCCGCCCGCGCGGACCGGGCGCCCCGCAGGACGGACACGGAGUUAAUGAAGUACUGCUUUCAGAAAAGGAGGUGAUGGAAAUUGGAAGAGGCUAAGAUCCCUAUCUUUAUCUGCACCAAUGAAAAUCCGUAUUUCAUUUGAAAAAAAUAAAACCGUCUUCCAAUCGUGCAGGAAGUAUGCAGCAACCGCAUGUGCCUCCAUUUCUUAACCACUCAACAGGCUGGGUCUCCAUUGCCUCUGGUUUUCUUGAAUUAGAAAUGAAUUUUCCCUUUUCUGGGUUUCACUUCUUUUCAGAAUGUACCUCAAAAUGUCCUAAGCCAGGUUGGAAAAGGAAAUCCAUUUUACACGGUAGAAAUUACGAUCUCUUUCAUAUUGCAACCAAGGGGCAAUCAGGUUCAUUAUUUUGUGUGAUUUAUCGCAAAAUUGCCACCACCAGUAUUUUGGUGAAAUUGUAAAGCCUAAUUGGGAUUAUUGGAUGGGAAGCCCAGCCAACAGAAUAUUGAUCCCUGAAUUCAAAGCAAUGAGUAAGCUGCUUUGGCUCAGUUAUGCUUAUAUAUAUAUUUUUCCCCUCAAAUAUGUUUGGCCUUUCAGAGAGUCCUCAGCUUACAACCACAAUUGAGCCCAAAAUUUAUCUUGCCAAGUGAGAAAUUUGUUAUGUGAGUUUUGCCCCCUUUUACGACUCCUCUCACCACAUCUGUUAAGUGGAAUCACUGCAGUUUCUUAAAUUAAUAACACAGUUGUAAGUGAAUCUGCUUUCCCUAAUGAUUUUGCUUGUCAGAUGGUCUCAAAAGGGGAUCCUGUGACUCCAGAAUACUGCAACUGUCGUUAACGUGAGUCAGUGUGGAAAAUGGUCAUCAGUCCCUUUUUAAAGUGGUUUUGUAAGUUCGAAUGGUCACUAAAUGAACAGUUGUAAGUCGAGGAUUACCUGUACUGCAACCGUCAUAAAUAGGAGCCAGUUUGCCCAGCAUCUGAAUUUUGUCCAUGUGGCCACGGAGACGUUUCAAUGGUCCUAAGUCACUUCUAGUACCGUUGUACUCAAUUCGCCUUAACAACAGUGGCAAGAAAGAUAAAAUGGGGCAAAACUGACUCACGUGUCUCCCUUAGCAACUGAAAUUGGGGGCUUAAUUGUGGUUGUAGGAAAGCUAGAAAUGAAUAUUGUAUAGUUUUUCAGUCCUGAAAAAUAGGUAGGUUGACUUGUGAUAUGUGUUUGGUCCUCAAAUUUGCCCAACCGCCUUCUGAGGGCGAAAGGAAAAAAACAAACCUUAAAUGUCUUCUUUGUUUGAAAUAAAUGAUAAAUAAAUGAUGAUAAAAUAAAGCUGUUACAUUUUGCUGACCUAAUUCAUUUGCAGUACUCUCUUCCUACAGCUGCUGAGGAAAGCUGCCCACCCCUCCACCAAACAAACCCCAAAAGUCCACAAAAUCGCACACUUUCAACUUAUUUGCUCAAAGUUCUGUUUAUUUCAGGCUGAAAGUCAAAAUUAGCCAAACCUCUUGAUAAUUACAUUAUAUAUAUAUAUAUAUAUUUAUAGCUAUGUAGAUGUACAGAUAAAUUUAUAGAUACUUUGUAGAAAAGGGCAUUUUGCUUCCAUUUGGCUGCUGCCUCUCCCCCCCCAACACACACGCACACACGCACCACAAGCACACACACACACAUGUACAUAAAAAAUAUUAAAAUAGCACAAGAAGAGGCAACUUUUGCCCGUUCGGUUUCCAUCUUCCAUAGCAUCGUCAUUAUAAAGACAUUAGUUUACCCUUCCUUCGCUGGGAAUAAAGGACUCCUUCCUGUC